rnacentral:rRNA from 1 species
AUUGAACGCUGGCGGCAUGCCUUACACAUGCAAGUCGAACGGCAGCACGGGUGCUUGCCCCUGGUGGCGAGUGGCGAACGGGUGAGUAAUACAUCGGAACAUGUCCUGUAGUGGGGGAUAGCCCGGCGAAAGCCGGAUUAAUACCGCAUACGAUCUACGGAUGAAAGCGGGGGCCCUUCGGGCCUCGCGCUAUAGGGUUGGCCGAUGGCUAAUUAGCUAGUUGGUGGGGUAAAGGCCUACCAAGGCGACGCUCAGUAGCUGGUCUGAGAGGCCGACCAGCCACACUGGGACUGAGACACGGCCCAGACUCCUACGGGAGGCAGCAGUGGGGAAUUUUGGGCGAUGGGCGAAAGCCUGAUCCAGCAAUGCUGCGUGUGUGAAGAAGGCCUUCGGGUUGUAGAGCACUUUUGUCCGGAAAGAAAUCCUUGGCCCUAAUACGGUCGGGGGAUGACGGUACCGGAAGAAUAAGCACCGGCUAACUACGUG